GCCGGGCAUAGUGGCGAGUGCCUGUAAUCCCAGCUACCUGGGAGGCUGAGGCAGGAUAAUCACUUGAACCCAGGAGGCAGAGGUUGCAGUGAGCUGAGAUCUCACCACUGCACUCUAGCCUGAGCAACAGAGUAAGACUCUGUCUCAA
ensembl:misc_RNA Metazoa_SRP Metazoan signal recognition particle RNA